rnacentral:rRNA from 1 species
UCAGGCCUAACACAUGCAAGUCGAGCGAGACCUUCGGGUCUAGCGGCGGACGGGUGAGUAACGCGUGGGAAUAUGCCCUUCGGUUCGGAAUAGCCCCGGGAAACUGGGAGUAAUACCGGAUACGGUCUACGGACGAAAGAUUUAUCGCCGAAGGAUUAGCCCGCGUUGGAUUAGGUAGUUGGUGGGGUAAUGGCCUACCAAGCCGACGAUCCAUAACUGGUUUGAGAGGAUGAUCAGCCACACUGGGACUGAGACACGGCCCAGACUCCUACGGGAGGCAGCAGUGGGGAAUCUUAGAAGGGGGGGGAAACCCUGAUCUAGCCAUGCCGCGUGAUUUUAGAGGGCCUUAGGGUUGUAAAGCUCUUCAGCU